CAGCAGCCACGGGAAUACGUAGGUGGCAAGCGUUGUCCGGAAUUAUUGGGCGUAAAGGGCUCGCAGGCGGUUUCUUAAGUCUGAUGUGAAAGCCCCCGGCUCAACCGGGGAGGGUCAUUGGAAACUGGGAAACUUGAGUGCAGAAGAGGAGAGUGGAAUUCCACGUGUAGCGGUGAAAUGCGUAGAGAUGUGGAGGAACACCAGUGGCGAAGGCGACUCUCUGGUCUGUAACUGACGCUGAGGAGCGAAAGCGUGGGGAGCGAACAGGAUUAGAUACCCGUGUAGUCCCUGUCUCUUAUAA
rnacentral:rRNA from 1 species